rnacentral:rRNA from 1 species
GAGUUUGAUCAUGGCUCAAAUUGAACGCUGGCGGCAUGCCUUACACAUGCAAGUCGAACGGCAGCACGGGGGCAACCCUGGUGGCGAGUGGCGAACGGGUGAGUAAUACAUCGGAACGUGUCCUGUAGUGGGGGAUAGCCCGGCGAAAGCCGGAUUAAUACCGCAUACGAUCUACGGAAGAAAGCGGGGGAUCCUUCGGGACCUCGCGCUAGAGGGGCGGCCGAUGGCAGAUUAGCUAGUUGGUGGGGUAAAGGCCUACCAAGGCGACGAUCUGUAGCUGGUCUGAGAGGACGACCAGCCACACUGGGACUGAGACACGGCCCAGACUCCUACGGGAGGCAGCAGUGGGGAAUUUUGGACAAUGGGGGCAACCCUGAUCCAGCAAUGCCGCGUGUGUGAAGAAGGCCUUCGGGUUGUAAAGCACUUUUGUCCGGAAAGAAAACCUCUUGGUUAAUACCUGAGGGGGAUGACGGUACCGGAAGAAUAAGCACCGGCUAACUACGUGCCAGCAGCCGCGGUAAUACGUAGGGUGCGAGCGUUAAUCGGAAUUACUGGGCGUAAAGCGUGCGCAGGCGGUCUGUUAAGACCGAUGUGAAAUCCCCGGGCUUAACCUGGGAACUGCAUUGGUGACUGGCAGGCUUUGAGUGUGGCAGAGGGAGGUAGAAUUCCACGUGUAGCAGUGAAAUGCGUAGAGAUGUGGAGGAAUACCGAUGGCGAAGGCAGCCUCCUGGGCCAACACUGACGCUCAUGCACGAAAGCGUGGGGAGCAAACAGGAUUAGAUACCCUGUAGUCCACGCCCUAAACGAUGUCAACUAGUUGUUGGGGAUUCAUUUCCUUAGUAACGUAGCUACGCGUGAAGUUGACCAAUCACUA